GUAGUUCAAACUCACUUCAGUGUUUUAUUUAGCCUUCAUUCUCUUGGUUAGUUCUCCUUAGAGUCAGCCACAGAAUGUUGGGGCAGAGUUUAUACACAGAGUUUGGGGUUUUUCUUCUUUGGAUUUCAGUUGUUGAGGAUUUCCUUCUCACUAUCAGAGACUAUGGAUGCCCAAACUCUGUCCUCUGGUAUUUCUAUCAAGCAAUAUUAUAAAAUUAUUUUAUCUGGAUUUUAGCUAUCCACCUACCCUCUGCCUCUCAUGGCCAAGACUAGAGCCUGCCCUCGUGCUCAGGACAUAAAAAAAUAAAACAGUGUUAUUUCCUUUUUCCAAAUAUUGACUUCCUGCAGUAUCCAAUUUUGAUUGCUCCCAAGUGCCUUCCGCUAGUUGUAUUCUAUAUUUUACCCAGAGGGCAUAUUUGUUAUCUAUGGAACAACGACUGUGAAGAAAAUAUGAAACCAUUAUCAAAAGUGGGUUCUCUAACAGGAAUCAGAAGGGCAGCUUUGCUGUUCUGUGUAGAGUUGGAGUUAAUGGCAGCAGAUGCCCAGUAGUGUGACAGGAGGGAGUAGUGUGUCAGCUGGGGACACAUUAAAAAAUUAAAUGAAUUUUUCUUGGCUGGCAUUUUAGUCAACUUUGUGUCACUGUGACCAAAGGAACUGACAAGAACAACAUAGAGGAAGAAAAGUAUUUUGGCUCACAGUUUCAGAGGUUCAGUUCACCGUUGGCCAUCUGUAUAGCUCUGGGCCCAGGUGAGGGAGAACAUCAUAUCAGAAGGGUGGGGUGCAGGAAAGCUGCUCAGGUCAUGACAUCCAGGAAACCAGAGAGAGCAUGCCACUCGCUGGAACAAAAUAUAAACCCCAAAGUGAUACCCCCAGUGCCCUACUUCCUCCAAUCACACCCUGCAGUUACCAUCCACUUAAUCCAUUAGUGGGCUAAUCUCUGAUUAGGUUACAACUCUCAUAAUCAAAUCAUUUCGAAACUUUCGAACAUUCUUGCAUUGUCUCACCAAAACAGCUGGUAUGAGUGUCUCUGUAUGUAUGUAUAGUGAGUGGAAUGGCCUUAAAAUUGUUUCCCUCCAUCCGUUUCUCCCUCGGAAACCACAACCACAUUAGGAGUCCUCACCAAAAAAACACCUCUUUUCCACGGAGAGCACUUGAUCUGAGAGUCAUCCCCUCUGCAUAUGGAGAUAGGAGUGGGAUGGCAGACUAAUAGAUGCAUUCUCUAUUUAGUUAUCCUGACAUAUACUCCAUAGUUCCCUAAUGCUGUGUAUGCUAAGCCAAUCUGCACGCUAGGAACAGCCACAUUAAUCUUUGGUAGGUUUGACUGUCAUUCCACUAUCGUGACUUUUUCAAGAGUUCAAUCAUAUCUGCUUGUCUUUUGAAGAAUUCCUCAAAAUGUAUUACUCUUCUAUCAUUGCCAUUUCAUUCUUAUUUUGAACAUCUUUCCUAUUAUUUCAGCAAAACAUUGGGAAGAAUGGAAGUGAAGUGCAAUAGAUCUUUUUCCUCUAAACAGGAAACACAGAAUUUAUUUUUCUACCAAUUGGGUCUGUAAUUGCAUUUGUCAAAGUUAAGAAAAAGAGCCAAGCCAUUUGGCAAAGGGAGAGAAACAGACAUAAUACUGUGUAAACAAUUUAACUUUUUCUCACAAGCAUCAGUUUAGUUCCUGCCUUUAGCCUUUGGCAGGAUCCACUGUUUCUAUCAUCUUUUUUUUUCCUUAACAUAAUGGGUUAUUUUCUAUUCAGUAAGAGAAAGAAAAGUGGGCAACUUAAAAAAUAUAUAAAACAUCAGUAAUUAAAAAUACAGCUGAAAAUAAUCAGGAGAUAAAAUUCUUUCCUCAGACUGAAAGAUGAGGAAGAGUGAUGAACACAGACAGCAUGGGUCAUUAGGAAAAUGGGAAUUCUCACACACUCCAGUAAAGUUUGGCAAUUUCAAAGUUUUGAAUGCAUAUCCCCUUUGAGUUAGCAGUUUCAUUUACAGAAAAGCAUCUUUAAAUAUAACCAUGAACAUACAAAAGGAUUUGGCCACACAAAACAUUCAUUAUAGCAUUGUUAAUAAUAAUUUUUUAUUCUUUUAUCUUAUUUUAGUUGUCAAAAGACCUUUAUUUUAUUUAUUUAUAUGUGGUGCUGAGAAUCAAACCCAGUGCCUCACACAUGCUAGGCAAGUGCUCUACCACUGAGCCACAACACCAGUCCCAAUAAUAAUUUUUAAUAGAAGGGAAACUGAUAGAGCUGAGGAAGGGGAUUGAAAGGGAGAGAAGAGGGAAGGACACAGGAAACUACUGAGGAAUGAAAUCUACCAUGUAUAUGUAUGUCAUGUAUGAAUAUACCACAAUGAAUCCCACUUACAUAUAUUUAAUUAUGAAGCACUAAUGAAAAUCAUAAUAAUAAUAGGAGGGAGUGUAGACAAGCAGAUGGAAGAGAAGCAAGGAGGGACAGGCCAGGUACUGGGGAAUGAGAUUGAUCAUAUUAUGUGCCUUUGCAAAUAUGGCAUGAUUCCCACUAUUAUAUAUUGUAUCAUAUUUUUCAAAGAGAAUAUUAAUUCAAGAAAAGUGCCAUUAUUUGGUACAGGAAGUACAAUACUGAAUUACUUAUAGCCCCUGCCUUUACAGUUGUCACAACUAAAUCUCCUUAACUUAGGUCUUCAUUUUUCAUACACAAACACACACAGACACACACACACACACACAGAUAGAUGGAUAGAUAGAUAGAUAAAACUUUAAGAUUUUGAACCUUCUUCUCUGUAAUUACCACCCAAUUGUUUUUAUUAAUAUCACAUUUCUGGUUUUAAAUCACAUGAUAUCCCUUUUUCCAGUUUAUCUUUCACAUACUCUUAAGAGUAUGUGGUCUUUGGGAAAAUUCAAAUAGGCUCUCUAUAGUUACCUGUUGGUGAACCGACUAAUAGGACGGUUGUAAACCAUAUCAGCUUUGGGCAGUUUAAACUGAAGUAGUUUUCAUUUGGAAGCUCCACCUUAAAUUCAUUAGUUAUAGAGACUGUACCAGAAGUAAUAAGCCAGCAGUUCAGUUGUAACUAAAUUCACGUAUACAGAAGAAUGUCCUAGGAUGCUUGGAGAUUCUCAAGUUCAGAUUCAGAUUCUCAGGCCUCAAUCCCAGAAAACCUGACUCAGUGAGCUUAGAGUAGGCCAAGGAUCUUGCCUUUCUAACAGGGCUUGAAGGGUAACGGAAAAUAAUAUUUCUACAAGACAGCCCCUGGGGAAAAACAGAGGGACAUUGUGGCUCUGAAAGAGGGAGAGAAAUUAGCCAAACAUUAAGCCUCUCCCUGUACAUUUCUUACCAGUAAUAAUUGACCCUGAGGAAAAAAAAAAACCUUUCAUGUCUUCCUGGGUUCAUCCCCAGCAUCUCCACCAAAAGCAAAUAUUCAGCCUUUCCCCACCCCAGUGGCUCCUGAAGGGAGGAGGCAAAUACUGAAACUCUGGGCCCUGGACUUUUACCCUUUCCCACUGCAGAUGAGCCCUGGAGGGAGAAAAGCAAAUAGUGAAGCUCUAGGUAACAGAGGGCCCAGAGGAAGGAAGACAAGCAGAGAACGCCAAGUUGUGAGCUUUCCCAGUGACAGUGAGUUCCAAGCUUUUACAACUGCCUUGCUGAGUUAAAAUUUUAACCUGCACAACCAGGUCCCUGACUGUCCAAAUGACAUGUCUGCAGUCUCCAAUGAUUAAUUCACCUUCAUUGUAAACUAUUAAACUCAAGACUCCUUCUGUAACCUGGGGGCCAUUUCCAUACCCAAAAAAUGAGCCCUCCCGUGCCUGAUUGAUUGAUGGAAUAAAGGAGAGCCUGCUGAUCUGUUUGAGGUCUGUUUCCAUCCUAUUUGUAUUUUCAUUAUGGUGCCGAAACCGUUUUGGUUAUUUUUGCUUACAGGAAUCACAUGGGUUCUGCUGCAGAUCUCUGACCUUGUUUUGAGAAAUCUUGCAAGAAACCAUGUGAUAACUCUUGGUGAGUAGAGCAUGCAGGUUUGCCCACUUCCUCAAGAUUCUGUGAAGUAGCUCAGAGGUUUAAAGCUACCUUGAUUAUGUAGGCAUUAGGAUGGGUUUUGUUUUUCACAAAGAAGUUGGAAAUGAGCUCCAAUCCUACACUGUAGUUUAAAUAAAUCUUACUUGAAGAAAAGAAUGAAAUCCUGGUAAAGUAUUUUUUGAAAACAAAGAGCAAUAACUUUUCAACUAGAUCAACCAUUCAUAACAUUGGUUCCCCAAACAACUCAUUUUAUUAUCAACAAAUAGAAAUAUGCUUCCUGUGGUUCUGUUUUCCAAGCCCAAACAUAAGAAAAAUUAACUUGCCAUGUAAUGAAAUAUUUGAAACAAUAACUGUCCCCAAAAGCUAGGGUCAAUAGUAACUUUGUCAUGCCACAGAAAAUUUAAAGCCAAACUUUAAUACGGGACCCUCUGUUGUUACAUCUUCCCAACUAUUUGUUAUCACCACUUCUUCUAUUUACCCGCUCUCUCUUAGAAAAUCUGUACAGAGUAAAUCAUACUUGAAAUAAAUAUAACGUAUCAGGGAAUAAAGCUUGUAUAUCUCUCCUUCAGUCUUUAAAAAUGUGGUUUUGGGAUCCCGCCCCACUUUAAGUAGCUUCUUUUCAUUUGUGUCUGGUUCACCUAUUGUUAAAUUUUAAAAAUUUUUAAAGAGGGGCCAAAUAUUUUAAGGUAAAUUUUUGUUGAGUGUUUCUGGGUUAUCGUGAACUUUUUAAUGAAGUGACAGAUGGAGAAUUUUAUUCAACACCAUUAUCUCUGUUUGGGUCAUUAACUGUUUUCAUUGUUAUGAUUUGAAUGUGAUUUGGUCCCUCACCAAAACUCAUGUUGAGGCUUGAUUCCCAAACUAACGUGCUAACAGGCAUUGGAGCCUGUAAGAGAUGAUUAGAUCGGUGAAAAAAAAUUAAUGCUUUUUCUCUUGAGAGUGAGUUCUCAACUCUUGCAGGCCUGGAUCGGUUACCAUGACUGUGGGUUGUUAUAAAUUGGUUCUCUCCUCCACCACAUACACACACACACACACACAUAAACACUUAAACGCUUUUCUAUACAUGCCUUCUCUCCCUCUAUCAUGAGACGCUC
rnacentral:lncRNA from 1 species